UACGGAGGGUGCGAGCGUUAAUCGAAAUUACUGGGCGAAAAGCGCUGGUAGGUGGCUUGAUAAGCCGGUUGUGAAAGCCCCGGGCUCAACCUGGGAACGGCAUCCGGAACUGUCAAGCUAGGGUGCAGGAGAGGAAGGUAGAAUUCCCGGUGUAGCGGUGAAAUGCGUAGAGAUCGGGAGGAAUACCAGUGGCGAAGGCGGCCUUCUGGACUGACACUGACACUGAGGUGCGAAAGCGUGGGUAGCAAACAGG
rnacentral:misc_RNA from 1 species